ensembl:lncRNA
CUCACUUCCUGAUUUGUUAGGAUGAUGGUUAUAUUCCAGGCCCAGGUAAAUCUUCUUGGUGUGUUUACAUAGACUUUAUGGGCUGUAAUCUGUUCUUUUUUUUUUUUUUUUUUUUACCCAAAUGAGGGAAUUAGGGGGAUUUGGACAAGCCUAACAAGUCUGGCUUCUAAAAUACAAGUAAACUAAAACAGCAGUUUCUCACCUAAACAUGUAAAGGAAGCUCCUCAUUCGUUCAGGUGACGUCUUGAAGUGAAAUCACGGCAUCUGGCCUGAAAGUAGGCUUUCUUUAAAACCUUACAUGCUGAGAGGUGAAUUUAAAACUUUCAUGAAAGAAACCUUUAAGUUCAGAUGCCAUGAUUUCACUUCAAGAUCUCUCAAAAACAUGAUCAUUGGAAAAGACAGUAUUAAAUGUAAACAAGCACUUCUAUAUGUGCAUAAAAGGGAAUCCUGUUUUUCAAUUUAGUUUGAAAUGCUUAAAAAGAAGGUGUGGCCAAAAGGCCAACUUGUUCUUAAUUGAAAUUGUUGUGAAUCUGCAGAAGAUUUAAAAAAAAAAGCAUUUGUGACGUCAGAAAUACGCGCGGGGCAGGCCACAGUCUGCCCGCUCAGCUCCAUUCCGAUUCAACCACUUGUAGACAAAUGGAUUGGCUUCUGGUUCAAAACUGUACGGCUGGACAGGUAAAAUAUCGCUCGCCAUUUUUGUUGCACCACUAAGGUUAAUUUUGGGAUGUGAGGGAAUGUCAGGUCGUGGGAGGACAUGUUUACAAAGGGAUGAUGGGAAAUUAAUUUAUAAUAUUUAAAUAAUCUUAUUUCUGUAUGCAUGUAUACCCGUUUAUUUUGCCCAGCAUCGAGUCUGUCGAUGAGGUAAAUUUGAACAGGAUUCAAGCAUACAUUUAUUUUAAAAUCCCAAAAGGAAGUAGUACAAUUCGCCACACAUCCGCAGGAUCAGGCGGUAUCGCCUUAAGUUCUGCUUUUCUUGUGAAAACGCGGGCGUCUUCGGAUCCACGGACGAACCAGAAUGUCUCUUCUCCUCGGGAGGAAGGAGAAAUGUCCAUCACAACAACAGCGGAACGUUUAAAUGAGAAGCUGAGUGCAAAACAGCUUUUGGAAGAAGAAGAAAACGACAGCAAAAAGUCGCCCUCUUGGUGGAGAAAACAUGUGGAAUAAGACACUGGCGGCCACAAAAGAAGCCAGCUGUGGGUUUGUUGUUGUCAUGAUGCUCCCUCUAGCGGCUGCUGCGAGACCUGCAGCCUGUCGAUGCUCUUCAGCAUCUCAGCUGCAGGAGGAGACAGCUGCAUCCUUUGCGACUGGAGCUGGAAAAUUUUAAUCAACUCCUGAAAAAAGACGAAUAAAGUAAAUAAUAAAGAAUAUUCAUUUAAAAAAAUAUGUAAACAAAGUCUUAUUGUCUUACCACUGGCAAUGUCAUAUCUGUUAAUGUGUUCCAAUGAGAUAGGACUGCUUCCUCGCUCAGUAGCCCUUUGUCGACCAGCCUUCUGACCAGGAAAAGGUAGUUUGUGGCCUAAAAAAUGUUAAAUGGUAAAAUAAAUACUUAAACUGAACUGAGCCGCAAAAGACUGCAACCAACUCUUUAGAAAUAAUAAAAAUAACACACUUGAAGGCUAACUUAUCAGCUCAGAGUCAAAUACUUUUCUUCUGUCCUCUAAAACAAAAUAUGUAGGUGCAAAAAUGCAAAGCAACCUAUUUAGGAAAUCAUUAAAUAUAUUAAUAGACACAAAUGGUUAAGACAAAGAUACCAACGAACUGAAUGUUUUUCUAAAUUCCUAUAUUAAAUAUGUGCUGCUCGUUUUGCAGCUCAACCUGCCCCAAUUCCCCCUGAUAAGCUAGAACAGAUUAUUUCAGGUAUUAGCUGGACACACCUGAUCCAGGUAGAACAGAUCAACAGCAGUGCAGGGACCAGAUGCUAACAGAGAGCUGCAUUUGAGCUCCUCGUCUACCUGUGAGUCGGCGGCCUGAAGAACAGCAGUGACGGUGAGAGGGGCGAAAAGCUGAUGAAGGGCGUCGGGACACAGGAAGUUCAUCUGCCACAGCUCAGCGAGCUGCUCCAGGAGGUCUGGAAGCAGAGCUUCUGACUCCGAGGCAUCACUUCCCGAGGACACGACGAGCACUGGAAGUUCUCCUGUUACUGAAAAAACAAAAAAUACACAGCAUGCACCACAUAGGAUAUCUUUGUGGGUAAUACUAACCCUGACUCAACUAUUUUAACAAACUAGCUGAAGUAAACACAGAUUUCACCGCUCGUCGCCACGACAACCGUCUUUUCCUACAGCAUUGUGCACAUCACUCUUUUCCAUCGGGUCUCUGAAUUAGAAUCCUGUGAAGUACAGCCAAACCUUCGCCCUCUUUGGCAUUUUUUUUAGAGAAGCUCCGACCCACCCUCAUGGACUCACCCAUUCUUAUAUCAGCCCGCCCACAAUCGCUGGAAAAGUAAAAUUGUAAAGCAAAACAAAAUAGGAUAGAGGUGAAUGACUUCUCCUAAAUGAAGUACGAAAAACUGCUUUUUUUAUACAGUGCCGGUAGUUCUGUAUACGUUGGUACCAAACAAAUAUAGAGUUUUGGUACCUAUUUCUAAUUAAUUCCAUGUUUUUUGACAGGAUCCCUUCUGAUACUUAAUGUACCUUUGCAUUUAAAUGAAUUCGUUUUCUUAGGUGUUCCCCAAUGUUCAAUUCUUUGCCCCCUUGUUUUCCACAUUUUUGCUUAUUAUACUUUGUUUUAAGGUGCAUUUAUUUAUUACUUUGCAGAUUGCAUCAGGUUUCCUUGAACCUAAACCAAAUUUAAAGAAACGUUUCCUUCAGAGUUCUUCAAGGGAAAUACUACAACAAACAUUACACAUCAAAAUUCAAAUGUUGCUCAUUUAAAAUGACCUAAACCUACCGACUGUCUUAAAACGGUGGUCAGGUCGGAACUUCUUACCCAGCUUGCAGGCGAGCAGGACUGUAGAGUUCAGAAGCAUCUGCUCCGACACUGCAGUCUGGAACUAAAGGAUCCAAACAGAGAAAAGGGGUUAGAAAAAAAAAAGGGGAAAAAAAAGGGGAUUUAUGGCGGUUUCGCCGUACCUUCCUGCAGGCCAGUGUGUCCCUUGCUCUGUGCAGCAGGGCUUUGACCUGAGAGCCAGCCGGCAGCUCCACAUCUGUUCUGGGCCCCACAGCGAUGCUCAGCAACUCCUGCAUGAAAGAAAAAUAGAUAUCUGCUGGAAUUUCGGAUUUGAAAUAUAUUUAAAAAAUAAUAAAAAUUGAACAAAGGAGAGCUGGUCCAAACUUGUACAGGUACCUUCACUUCUAUGAGGACAUCCGAAGGCAGAGGGGCACUGUGGUCACAGCCAGGAGGACAAGCCCUCGCCCGCUCGCCUCCCGCCUUCCUCUUAGGACCAACCCACUGAUCCCGAGAGACCAGAUCCACCUCAGCGCCGCUCACAUCCACAGAUUCUGAGGCUCCAGGACUGCAGAGAGCCUUCAUCACACGGUCGAACCUGCUCUUCCAUUCCCGCCGUAUGAGCGCUGCGCAAGGACAACAAAAGGAAGCGUUUUUAUAAAGUUAUGCCUUCUUUCCUUCACCCAUAAUAGAAAUGAAUAUAACCCUGGCAGCCCUUACAUUCCAGCUUUUUAGCAUAUAAACUGGUUUAAGUGUCUCUUUAGAAAGUCUGAUCUGAAAUGUCAUACAUUAAAAAAAAAGUAGUUCUAUUAAGAGAUUUUUAAAAAUCUUUUAGCAUGAAGUUAAUGAUAAAAACUAAGCACAUAAGCAUGAAUGCAGACUCCUUAAAGAACUGCAGAUCUUUGAGCAGUUACCUGUGAUGUUAGCGGAGAGCCAGCUGCAAGCUUUUUCUGCCGCCAGGCGCCUCGUGAUGCUUUCAGAUGUUUGGAGAACCUAAGAAAAGUGUUUGAAAUAAAAGUGCACAAAAAAAUGAAUGUCACGAAGACGACAUUUUCUAUUCGAAAUUCUUAUUAAUCGGUGAAAUUACAGUGGGGGAGGUCUCUUCGGGGAGCAGUGUUCGUACGGCUUCGAGGCUUUUCUCGUCACAAAAUCUGCAUGUGAGUCGGAGAUAAUUCAGAAAACAAAGAUUACACGAGACCUCAAUUGCCAACAAAGUCGUUCUUUUUUAUCUUCAUUGAAUACCACCAAGAAAUACAACAUUUAAAGACCCACUCCCAUGAUAAUGUUUUUUUUACUUGCUCUUGUGGCAUUUUUCUUAUAAGAAAAUUAAACUCAAAAUUGUAUUUUUGAGUAUUACUUUACUCAAACUGUUGUUAAUCAGGAGUAGACGACACAAUGUCGCUUGAGAAAGAAUGUACUUGUGACGUAGAAAAUGGGCUAGGCAGGCCACAAACUUCCUGCUCUGCUCCAUUCUGAUGCACCCGCUUUUAGACAGAUAGAUCCAUGAACGUCUUUGUUUUCCUCGUGUGACCCGACAUCCGGCUCUAAACUGUAUGACUGGAAAGCUCCAAUACUGCUCGCCAUUUUUGUUGCAUCGGUAAUGUUAGGUUAGGGAUGUGAAGGGCUGUAAGCUAGCAGGACUACAGGGAGCUCUAUGCCGCUCUGCAGAAACUAUGUCCUCGAAAACAACAGUUUUUUUAUUUAGGCUGAAACGGCAUAAUCAUAAAAUGUUCCAAAAGAUGAUUGGAGUUGCUCUUUAAAGGAGACACAAAUGUAAAAAUGGUGGAAUUAGGACAGAAAAAAGUCAUUUUGGUCUUAAAUUAAGACAAAUUGAAGGUUUGCUUGUAUUAUAACUUCAUUUUGUUUAAAACAAUGUUUAGUGAAAACUCAACGAAAAAAGCUCAAAUGUAAAGACAACAAAAGUUAAAAAAUAAACAGAAAACUAAAGCCUCAUAUCUACUGAGCGGUAUUAAAUGUUGGUUGAGAGAUGAUUGUGGAGGGCGAUGAGGAAAACAGCCAAUCAAUGGGUUUCAACAGUAGCUCCGCCCUAAAAGGUCCAUUGUUUUUAUUCUACGGACCUACAACCAUCAGGGCACUAAAAUGGUGCGGUUCGGUCCAACUUAAUGGGUCCAUGGAAAUGCUUAAAACAAUAUUGGUGAAAACGAAGCUUUAAAUGUCUAAUCUAAGGGAACCACAGCUAAUUUCUACAGAAAACAAUAAUCAGCACGCCUGCUUUUAAUUUUGGAAAAUACCGUUAAAUAACUUUAAAAGCUAAGAUAGUUUUUACAGAACUUCAGUGUUGAAUUUGUCUGUUUGAAUGUGCAGAUUUAACACACACACAAAAAAAAUAUAUUGUUGUAGUAACCGUGGUUUUUAGUAGAUUCUUUUAAAUGAAACAACGGAUGUUGAAUAAUGUUCUCAUGGGCCGCCUUUACACUGCAAGGUUCAAGUGACCCAAUUCCGAUUUUUUCCUGUCACGUGGCACAGAUCGGAUAUGAUCGGUGAAUGUGUAUGCAGGAAAAAAGCGCAUGGAUUCCGAUUUUUUCUCAGAUCGGAUACAGGCCUCUCUCAUAUGUGGAAAUAAAUCAGAUACAUGCAUUUGCGUGUGCCAUGUAAGCAGACAAAUCGGAUAUUCCUGACCGUCUACCUCGCCUUUGCUCCUGCUCCUACACCUGGCUGUGGUUCCUGUCUCCGGCUCAUCUCUGGCUCGUCUCUGCUCUGUACCUGACCGAGUACCUCGUCUCUGCUCCUGCUCCUGGCUGUGGUUCCUGUCUCCAGCUCGACUCGCGCCUUUGACUGUCCCCACAACCACGACUGGAUGACGCUCGUCUGCUGGACUUUAUAUAUGUAGUUGUAGAUUUAGAUAAGUUAAUUCUUCUCUAAGAGUUCUGGUACAUCGCCUGUCCGUCCUGGGGGAGGAUCCCUCCUUCAUGUGGGCACCCCUGAGGUUUCUUCGUUUUUUCCGGAAUCCGGUUUUUUUGGGAGUUUUUCCUUACCGCGAAGGGGGGUCUAAGGGCAGGGAUGCCAGUAUAGCUUAGUCAGUUUGUUAGUUCAUUUUUGAAUUUUCCUAUUGAACUCUUUGUAUUCAUGAUCCUUUUGAGUUCAUGUUUUACUUCGAAGCCCAUCGAGACGACUGUUGUUGUGAUUUUGGGCUAUACAAAUAAAAUUGAAUUGAAUUGAAUAUUCCCCAGUAAAUGCGAGUCGUACGUCAGUGACGGCAACUCAUGAUACCACCAACUGAGAUCACAUGACCUA